CUGUUGUGGCCUCAGAGCUGUUGGUUUUCUUCUGCCUCGUCCACUUCUCCAGGCAGAAGUACAUCAGCGGUUGAUUUCCCCAGAGCAAGAAAAGAAGCAGUAAAAGAUUUGAAGGGAUACGUGGUAGUGAUGCAGGGAAACGUGCCUCGAAGCUGCAGAACUGUGGGCUGGUGGGGACACUGCUUCAUGACCAGUCACCAGUAAGAAAGGAGAAACAUGUUCCUGUAAAACAAAGUGCUUGCUCCACGGGUUAACCCUGGCAGCCUCUGGUGAAACCCCUUUAUUUAAAUAACCUUCCCUAAGCACCUGGUGCCUCUGUUGCUACGGGAAUCACUAGAAACUCCAUAGGGUGUAGGAAAACAUGACCUCCUUGAAAUUAGAGCAAAUGGCCACAAGGAGUCAUCUGGACGAGAAGAAAUGAUGGGUGCCUAAUAUGCCCUCUGAGACAAGUGGAAGUUGGAGGCACCAGACCCAGGCAGAGGUUCCAGGAUGCCAGGUCACAUUCGAGGUCUGGGAGGAGUAGUACCAGCUACAGAGCAUGAGGUCAGAGAGAUCCAACUAGAGCUCAGCAAACAACUCAAAUGGUGAGAGCAGAAGCCAGUGAGCACACAAAACAGCCUCCCCGCUGGCUGCAGACAUCCCUUGGCACAUGGAGAGGCUGAAGAAAAUCAGUCAUUUCAAUGUCCGGUG